UGCUUACACAUGCAAGUCGAACGGAAAGGCCCCUUCGGGGGUACUCGAGUGGCGAACGGGUGAGUAACACGUGGGCAAUCUGCCCUGCACUUCGGGAUAAGCCUGGGAAACUGGGUCUAAUACCGGAUAGGACCUUUAGGCGCAUGUCUUUAGGUGGAAAGCUUUGCGGUGUGGGAUGGGCCCGCGGCCUAUCAGCUUGUUGGUGGGGUGAUGGCCUACCAAGGCGACGACGGGUAGCCGGCCUGAGAGGGUGUCCGGCCACACUGGGACUGAGAUACGGCCCAGACUCCUACGGGAGGCAGCAGUGGGGAAUAUUGCACAAUGGGCGCAAGCCUGAUGCAGCGACGCCGCGUGGGGGAUGACGGCCUUCGGGUUGUAAACCUCUUUCACCAUCGACGAAGGUUCGGGUUUUCUCGGAUUGACGGUAGGUGGAGAAGAAGCACCGGCCAACUACGUGCCAGCAGCCGCGGUAAUACGUAGGGUGCGAGCGUUGUCCGGAAUUACUGGGCGUAAAGAGCUCGUAGGUGGUUUG
rnacentral:rRNA from 2 species